AUUGAACGCUGGCGGCAUGCCUUACACAUGCAAGUCGAACGGCAGCGGGCCCUUCGGGGUGCCGGCGAGUGGCGAACGGGUGAGUAAUGCAUCGGAACGUACCCGGGAGAGGGGGAUAACCGGCCGAAAGGCUGGCUAAUACCGCAUGAACUCGGAAGAGCAAAGCGGGGGACCUUCGGGCCUCGCGCUCUCGGAGCGGCCGAUGUCCGAUUAGGCUAGUUGGUGGGGUAAAGGCCCACCAAGGCGACGAUCGGUAGCGGGUCUGAGAGGACGAUCCGCCACACUGGGACUGAGACACGGCCCAGACUCCUACGGGAGGCAGCAGUGGGGAAUCUUGGACAAUGGGCGCAAGCCUGAUCCAGCAAUGCCGCGUGGGUGAAGAAGGCCUUCGGGUUGUAAAGCCCUUUCGGCGGGGAAGAAAUCGGUCAGGCGAAUAGUCUGGCUGGAUGACGGUACCCGCAGAAGAAGCACCGGCUAACUACGUG
rnacentral:rRNA from 1 species